UUUGUUUGCAGCCAAAAGCACCCUUGCAUGAACGUGGAUGUAGAUGAGCCUUGCGUACAACAAAGAUUGUAUAAUUACCGAUAAGUUAUUCUUAUGUCAUCUAUUUGUUUCCUAGUAUCAUACACGGUGAUGCCUUUAGAAGUAAAUCCUUCUUUGCAGGUGAAAGCACUACUAUAUGAAGUUGGAGCUCUGGCCAAGGCCGUGCAAAAUUGAUUGAAGGGUCUAUUCUCAGUUAGGGUCAGGCCAAGGCUGAGAACACCUGAUUGAAGGGCCUACCCUCGGUUGGGGGCUCUAGCCAAAGCCAAACACACCAUACUGACAGGCCUACCCUCGAUUGGGAGCUCUGGCCAUGACCGAGUACACCUUACUGAAGGGUCUACUCUCGGUUGGGAGCUCAGGCCAAAGCCGAGCACACCUGAUUGAAGGGAUUUCCUUCGGUUAAGGGCUCACAUUGAGAGCUUAGGCUAGCCGAGCACACCUGAUCGAAAGGCCUUCCCUUAGUUAAGGUCUCAAGCCAAAGCCGAGCACACCUGAUUGAAGUGUCAACCUUCGGUUGGGAGUUAAAGCCAAUGCCAAGCACACCUCAUGGAAGGUAUUACACCCUUAUUUGGGAGCUCAGGCCAAGUCCGAGCUGACCUGACCAAAGGGCUUGCGUUGGGGGCUCAAGCCAAUAGUGAGCACAACUAACCAAAGGGCAGACCCUCGGUUGGGAGCUUAGGCUAAAGCUGAGCAUAGUUGACUGAAGGGUCUUGCCUCGAUGGAGCAAUGAGGCUAAAGCCGAACACCCUUAUUGAAGGAUCUAGCCUCGGUUAGGGGCUUAAGCCUUGGCCGUGCACACCGAACUACAGUGCCUACCCUUAAUUGGGAGUUCAAGUUAAAGCCGAGCACACCUAACCAAAGGGCCUAUACCCUCAGUUAGGAGCUCAGGCCAAAGCCGUGUAAACCUAACCGAAGGGUCUACUCUCAGUUUGGGGUCAAACCAAGGCCGAGCGUACCUGAUUGAAGGGCCUACCCUCGGUUAGGUGCUCAACUCACGGCUAAAUACACCAAAUCGAAGGGCCUAUUCUCAAUUGGGAGUUCAGGUCAAGGUUGAGUAGACCUGACCGAGGGGCCUACACUCGUUUGUGGGCUCAGGCCAAGGUCGAGCACACCUAACCAAAGGGCCUACCCUCGGUUGGGAGCUCAGGAUAAGAUCGAGCAUAGAUGAGUGAAAGGCCUUGCCUCUAUUUGGGGCUCAGGCUAAGCCGAGAAAGUCAAACCGAAGGGCCUAACCUCAGAUGGGGGCUUAGGCCUAGCCAAACACACCUGUCCAAAGUGCCUACCCCGAGUUGGGAGUUUAAGCCUAGGCUGAGCACACUUGACCGGAGGGCCUACCUUUAGUAGGGGCUCAGGCUAAGGCCAAACACACCAGACUGAACAGCUUACCCUCGGUUGGGAGCUCAGCCACGGCUGAAUACACCUGACCAAAGGGUAUACUCUCGGUUAGGAGCCUAGGCCAAGGCCGAGCACAUCUGACCGAAGGGCUUGUCCUCGGUUGGGAGCUCAAAUCAAAGUCGAGCAUACGUAAUCAAAGGGCCUUCCCUUGUUUGGGGGCUCAAGCCAAGGCCGAGCACACCUAACUGAAGGGCUUAACCUUGGUUGGGAGUGUAGGCCACAGCUUUCACCUGAACGAAGGGCCUACUCUCGGUGAUCGAAGGGCGUACCCUCGUUUAGGCGCUCAAGGCAAGGCUAAGAAGACCUGAUCAAAGGGCUAUCCCUCAGUUGGGGGCUUAGGCCAAGGCCGAGUAGACCUGACUGAAGGGCCUACACUCGAUUGGGGGCUCAGGAGAAAUCCAAGUACACUUUUCCAAAGGGCCUACACUCGAUUGGGAGCUCAGGCCAAAGCUGGGCAUAUCUGACCAUAGGGCUUUCUUUGGUUAGUGGCUUAGGCCAGAGCUGAGCAAACCAGACUGAAGGGCCUACCUUCAGUUGGGGCUCAACCAAAAGUUGAGCACACCUAACCGAAGUGUUUACCCUCAGUUGGGAGUUCAAGCCAAGGCUAAGCAUACCUGACCAAAGGGCCUACUGGGUUAGGAGUUGAGGCCAAAGCCGAGCAAACCUGAUUGAAGGGCCUAACCUCAGUUUGGGGUCAAGCUUAGGCUGAGCACACCUGACCGAAGGGCCUACCAUCGGUUGGGGGCUUAGGCUAAAGUUGAGCAGACCUGACCGAACGGCCUACUCUCAGUUGGGGUUUAGGUCAAGGCCAAGCAAACCAGACCUAAAUGCAUACACUUUGUUAAGGGGCUUAGUCCAAGGCCGAAGACCAUAGACAAAAGGGCCUACCCUCAGUCAGAAGCUUAGGCCAAAGCUGAGCACACCUGAUCGAAGGACUUACCCUCUGUUUGGAGCUCAAGUCAUAGGCGAGCAUAUCUGACUAGAAUGCCUUCCCUCGGUUUGCUCUCAAGCCAUGGUCCAACGGACCUGACCAAAGGGUCUUUCCUUGGUUAGGGGCUCAAGCUAAAGCUAAUCACACUAGACCGAGGGGCCUUCUCUUAGUUGAGGGCUUAAGCUAAGACCAUGUAGUCUUGACCUAAGGGCCUACCCUCAGUCGGAAGCACAGGGCAUCGCCAAGUACACCUGAUCGAAGGGCUUACCCUCGGUUGGGAGUUCAGGCCUAAGCCUAGCACACGUGACUAGAGGGCCUACCCUUGGUUUGGAGCUCAGGCCAAAGCUGAGCAUAUUUGACUGAAGAGCUUUCCCUCGAUUGGGGCUCAAGCCAAUGACUAAAGGGCCUACCCUUGGUUUGGAGCUCAGGCCAAAGCCGAGCAUAUUUGACUGAAGAGCUUUCCCUUGAUUGGGGCUCAAGCCAAUGCCUAGCACACCUGAUUGAAGGGCCUACACUCAGUUGGGGGCCUCAGGUCAGGCUUAGUCCAAGGCCGAAGACCUUAGACAAAAGGGCGUACCCUUAGUUAGAAGUUUAGGCCAAAGCUAAGCACACCUGAUCGAAGGGCCAACCCUCUAUUUGGAGCUCAGGUUAUAGGCGAGCAUAUCUGACUGGAAUGCCUUCUCUCGAUUUUCUCUUAGGCCAUGGUCGAGCGGACCUGACCGAAGGGCCUUCCCACGAUUGGGGGCUCAAGCCAAAGCCGACCACACCUAACUGAAAGGCAUUCCCUUAGUUGAGGGCUUAGGCUAAGGCCAUGAAGUCUUGACCCAAGGGCCUACCCUCGGUCGGAAGCAUAGGCCAAGGCUAAGUACACCUGACCGAAGGGCUUACCCUUGAUUGGGAGUUCAGGCCAAAGCCAAGCACACGUGAUCGAAGGGCCUACCCUUGGUUGGGAGCUCAGGCCAAAACCGAGCAUAUCUGACCGAAGGGCCUACCCUUAGUUGGGAGCUCAGGUCAAAGCCGAGCACACCUAACCAAAGGGCCUACCCCUGAUUGGGAGUUUAAGUGAAUAGUAAAAACACUAGUCGGAAGGGCCUACCCUUUGUUAGGAGCUCAUGUUAAAGCCAAGGCCAACACCUUAGAUCAAAGGGCUUACCCUCAGUUGGGAGCUCAGGCCAAAGCCGAGCACACCUAACCAAAGGGCCUACCCUUGGUUGGGAGUUCAGGCCAAUGGCAUGCACACCAGACCAAAGGCCCUACUACCUGUUAGGAGCUCAUGUCAAACCUGAGCACAUAUGAUCCUAAGGCCUUCCUUUGGUUGGGGACUUGGGGUCCCAGGCCAAGGGUGAGCACCUUAGAUCGAAGGGCCUACCCUCAAUUGGGAGUUCAAGCCAAAGCCAAGCAUACUUGAUCGAAGGGCCUACCCUCGGUUGGGAGGUCAUGCCAACGGAAAGCACACCAGAUCAAAGGGCCUACCCUCUAUUAGGAGCUUAAGUCAAAGCCGAGCAUAUGUGAUCAUUGGCCCUCUAUUAGGAGCUCAGGUCAAAGCUAAGCAUAUGUGAUCAUUAGCCUUCCCUCAUUUGGGGGAUUUGGCUAAGGUUAAGUAGAAUUGAUUGAAUGGCCGACCCUAAGUUGGGGGCUUAGGCCAAAGGCGACCACACCUUCUUGAAGGGCCUUCCCUCGAUUGGGGACUUAGGUUAAGCCCGAGCAGACCUGAUCAAAGUGCCUACCCUUAGUUGGGAGUUUAAGCUAAGGCCAAGAACACUUGAUGAAGGGCCUACCCUCGGUUAUGAGCUCAGGCCAAGGUCGUGCAAACCUAAUCGAAGGGUCUACUCUUAGUUUGGGGUAAGGCCAAGGCUGAGCACACCUGAUCGAAAGGCACACCCUUGGUUAGGGGCUCUGGCCAAAGCUAAACACACCAGACCGACCAAGUACACCUGAUUGAAGGGCCUACUCUUGUUUAGGAGCUCAGGCCAAGGCCGAGAACACCUAAUCAAAGGGCUUUCCUUUGGUUGAGGGCUCAGGAUAAAGCUAACCACACUUGACCUUAGGGCCUACCCUCGGUUGAGAGCUAAGGCCAAAGGCGAGCACACCAAACUGAAGGUCCUACCAGGUUUGGGAGCUAAGGCCCAAGUCGAGCACACCUGAUCGAAAGGCCUUCACUUGGUCAAUGUCUUAGGCCAAAGUUGAGCACUCUUGAUUGAAGGGCCAACCUUCGGUUGGGAGUUAAAGCUAAGGCCAAGCACACCCGAUGGAAAGUAUUACCCUCGUUUGGGGGCUCAGGCCAAGGCCGAGUAGACCUGACCAUAGGACCUACCCUCGUUUGGAAGCUCAGGAUAAGGCUAAGCACACCUAACCAAAGGGUAUACCCUCUGUUGUGUAUGCAAGCCAAGACCGAGCAUAGCUAAUAGAAGGGCCUUACCUUGAUUGGGGGAUAAGGCUAAAGCUGAACACCCUGAUUGAAGGGCCAACCCUCAGUUAGGAGCUCAGACCAAUGCUGUGCAAACCUAAUUGAAGGGUCUACUCUCAGUUUGGGGUCAGGCCAAGACCGAGAACACCUGAUCGAAGGGCCUACCCUCGGUUAGGGGUUCUGUCCAAGGCCAAACACAAUGGACCAAAGGGCUUACCCUUGAUUGGGGGCUCAUGCCACUGCCAAGCAGACCUGAUCGAGGGGCUUACACUUGAUUGGGGGCUCAUACCAAGGACGAGCAAACCUGACAGAGGGGCCUACACUCAACUGGGGGCUCAGACCAAGGUCGAGCACACCUAAUGAAUGGGCUUACCCUCAAUUGGGAGCUCAGGCCAAGGCCGAGCAUAGAUGACCAAAUAGCUUUACCUCUGUUGGGCACCAGGCCAAAGUUGAGCACACCUGACCAAAGUGCCUACCCUUAGUUGAGAGUUCAAGCCUAGGCCGAGCACAAUUGACCGAAGGGCCUACCCUCGGUUGGGAGCUCAGCCACGGCUAAGUACAUCUGACUGAAGGGCGUAUUCUCGGUUGGGAGCUCAGGCCAAGGCUGAGCACACUUGACCGAAGGGCCAACCCUCGGUUGGGAGCUCGAGCCAAAGUCGAACAAACGUGAUUGAAGGGCCUUCCAUUGGUUGGGGGCUUAAGCCAAGGUCAAGCAAACCUUAUUGAAGGGCCUCCUUUGAUUGAGGGCUCAGGCCAAAGCCGAACACACCUGACCAACGGGUCUACCCUUAGUUGGGAGCUCAGGCCCGAGCUGAGCAAUCUUGAUCGAAGGGCCUUCCCUCCGUUGGGAGCUCAGGCUAAAGCCGAGCACCUUGCUUGCUCGGAGAACCUUCUCCCAUAAAAUAAUCAAAUGUGCCUUAGCACAAUUUACUUUGGAGACUCAAAUAUGUUUUUCCCAAAAAAAAAAAAAAAAAAAAAAAAAAAGGUGGGAACGAUGGAAUUUAAAAAAAUAUAUAUGAAAAAAACUAUAAAAAAGUACGUGAUUACCCACUACGUGUUCAAUGUUAAUUUUAACAGUCAGGCUUUUAAUCUAAAAAAGAGUACCAAAGAAAAAAGGGGGGACCAAGGGGGAUACAAAUUAAAGGACAACAUUCACUUUUGUUUGAUUAUUAGCACUCAGCCUGUAGCGCAAGUUUAGUUUUAUUCACUAAUUUGAUUUACAAGAACCAAGUUCUUGGUUUUAGAAAAUUUAUUGAUAGUUUUUCUUCCAAUUAUGCAGCAACUUGACUUGGGUAAUGACAAAGUAAGAUUUAUGUAAUAGAUUUCUUUCCUAGAAACGAAGUUAUCUUGUUUAUACCUGUUCUCAAAAUAUGAGGUGCAACAUAAACUUGGUUGUAGAUGAGUCUUGCUUAUAUCAAAGAUUCUAGAACUACAGAUAAGUUUUUUCUAUGUCUUCUAUUUGUUUCUGAAUAUCAUUCAUGUUGAUGAAUUUAGAAAUUAAUCUUUAUUUGUAGGAGAAAGAGAAAAGGAGAACCUGUCAAAAUACUAGCGCCAAGGUAUCCUAGCAAUCUCAGUUGUUUUAUAUGCUGCACAUUUUCACAACUGAUCUAUCUCCUUCCUUCUUUAUCACUUACACCUUCUUUUGUGGUAUUACUCUAAGAGGGAACGACUAGGUGUGGGAAGGCGUCAGGGGACUCCUUACUAUUUAAUCUUGACAGUAGUACUUCUGAUCUAAAAAGGAGUACCAAAGAGAAAGGGGGAGUAAUGAGGAUACAAAGUAAAGGACAAUAUUCACCUUUGAUUACUACCACUCAGGCUGUAAACCAAGUUUAGUUAAAUUCAUUCUACUGUUUUACAAGAACUAAAUUUUUGGGUUUAUAAAAUUUUAUGGAUAGUUUUCUUCCAAUUGUGCAGGAACUUAAACUUGGAUAACGACAAGGUAAGAUUUAUGUAAUAGAUUUCUUUCCUAGAAACGAUGUUAUUUUGUUUAUACAUGUUCUCCAAAUAUGUAGUUUUUUAUUAUUCCAUAACCCCCUUCCAUAUAUAUAUAAAUUAAUUAUACGUAGUCAGGCUUUCUUUGUUUGCAAGUAAAAGUUGUGUAGCAUGAACUUGGUUGAAGAUGAGCCUUGCUUACAUCAAAGGUUGUAGAACUGCAAAUAAGUUUUGCCUAUGUCUUCUAUUUGUUUCCAAAUAUCAUUCAUGUUGAUGAAUUUAGAAAUCAAUCUUUAUUUGUAGGAGAAAGAGUAAAGGAGAACCUGUAAAAAACUAGCGCCAAGGUGUGGGAAGGCGUCAGAGGACUCCUCACUGUCUAAUCUUGACAGUAGUACAUCUUAUCGAAAAAGGACUACGAAAGAGAAUGGGGGACUAAUGAGGAUACAAAGUGAAGGACAACAUUCACCUUUGGUUGAUUAGUACCACUCAGUUUGUAUCACAAGUUUAGUUAAAUUCACUAUAUUGUUUUACAAGAACUAAUUUUUUGUUUUCAGAAAAUUUAUUGAUAAUUUUUUUCCCAAUUGUGCAGGAACUUGACUUGGGUAACGACAAGCUAAAAGCACUCCUGCAUGACUGUGGAUGUGGAUGAGCCUUGCGUACAACAAAGAUUGUAUAAUUGCAGAUAAGUUAUGCUUAUGUCAUCUAUUUGUAUCCUAGUAUCAUUCAUGGUGAUGCCUUGGAAAUAUCACUCCACUCCACUGUACUUUGGUGAAAUAUCAUGUUCCCCCUAGACGUUUUAAAAAAUAUGAUUCGCCUCCCCUAAUCUGAAAGAUUCUAUUAAUCGUCCAUUUCCGUGAGAAAUGACAGUUAAGUCAUGAAUAUAUAUUUCAUAAUACCCAAACUACCAUCACACAUGUGUAAUACCAAUUAUAACCUUUUUAAUAAUAAAAAAUUAAAGAAGGGGAUUCCUCUGUUGGUGAUGCCCAGCGAUCAAUUGUAGGUGCUUUAUCUGAUCAGCUGUUGAAAUUGAAAGGGUUUGAAGGGGAAGACUAAAGAACUCAGAAAUCAACAACAUGACCUUCUUGAAUCCAUUUCCGUGAACAAGGCAUCGCUAUCCAUCCACUAGAUCCAUUCCACCUCUUCUUGUCACAACAUGAGCUGUUGAAUUAAGUGCAGCUUACCCAAUAACCAGCGAGCUCCUUAUCAAGAUGGGCCAAAUUGUAAAUGAUCUCAAUUCCAUGAAUUUCUACGGUAUUCAAUCUUGUUCUUGUAUGACUUGAGAUAGUAAUGAUCACCAAUUGAGUUGUCACAAGGGUUGGAAGAAAACUGACAGCAUCCCAAGAUUCUAGAUAUUAAGCUAAAGUUUAUUAAACGUUCAAAUAACAAUUUAAACGAGUCUUUAUUCAUCGAUUUUAAUCUUUCCUAAAAAAUUCAUUGAAUGGACGCCUAUCAAUAUCGAUGAUUGAUAUGAAUGGGCUAUUCUGAUUUCGUACAAGCCGUAGUUGUGAAAUUGGUAAACACGCUGCUCUUAGGAAGCAGUGCUAGAGCAUCUCGAUUUGAGUCCGAGUGAGAUCCAAUAAGAAGCAAGAUUUGAGCUUUGCCAUUGACCUAAUUAGGGAAAUGGGGAUUGCUUUGGAGCCAAAUCUUGCGCUGCUGCUGGUCCCAAUCGAAAAUCUUGGGUCCAAGAGUGUAGGUAACAUUUGGGUUGAAUUCAGGAUCCGCAGGUUCAGAAGGGUCUAUAGGAUCAAUAUCAGAACGAAUCUCAGCGAGGAUUUGAUUGGUUUCCUCAAUGAGUUUCUUAUUCUUGGCCUGAGCCUCGACGCAGCCAGCGAGGUUCCGACGCCAAUGGUGGCAUUAAGGAUAAGAAUAGUAACGAAGCUACAAAGGAUUAUAAACUUGAGGUUGUUGAAAGUUUUUUGGAUCUGAACCCCAACGAGGUAAGCCAGAAGAAGAUGUACAACCGCUGAGUCUGGUAGCCGUGGUGGGAAGUGAACCACCAUCUGCUCCACUUCUUUUCUAAGGCUGUACGGUUCUCUUGACCCAUCUCUUUCUAUCAAUGUAUCCCCCCUCUUUCUCUCUUUCUCUAUAUAUAUAUCAACUAUGUAAAGGCAGAGGGAGAAACCAUAACAAUGACGGGUUGAUGGUUACAUAGUUGAGGAGUGUUAAAACAAUAGAGUGAAUAGAGGGUGGUUGAGGCUAAUAGAUAAGAAAAAAGACACUGGUCCAAGUGAACAGCAAACACCGACAAUGACGUAAUUUGAGUCCAUUAAUUCUACGAUCGAUCUUGUUCUUUUUUGACAUAAUUAAGGAUAUGGGAUUGCUUUGGAGCCAAUUCUUACGCUGCUGGCCCCAAUUGGAAAUCUUGGGGCCAAGAGUGUAGGUAGCAUUUGGGUUGAAUUCAAGCUCCGCAGGUGCAUAAGGGUUUGUAGGAUCAGUAUCAAAACGAAUCCCAACGAGGAUUUGAUUGGUUUCCUCAAUGAGUUUCUAGUUCUUGCCUCAGCCUCGGCGUAGCCAGCAAGGUUUCCAAUGCUGAUGGUGGCAUGAAGGACAAGAAUAGUAACGAAGCCACAAAGGAUUAUAAACUUAAGGUUGUUGAAAGUCUUUUGGAUCUGAUGCCCACGAGGUAAGCCAGAAGAACAUGUAUAGCCGCUGGGUCCAGUAGUCGUGGUGGUAUCCCCCCUCUCUCUCUCUCUCUCUCUCUCUCUCUCUCUCUCUAUCUAUCUAUCUAUAUAUAUAUAAUAUGUAAAGGCAGAGAGAAACCAUAACAGUGACGCAUUGAUGGUUCCAUAGUUGAGGAGUGUUAAAACAAUAGAGAGUGAAGAGAGGGUGGCUGAGGCUGAUAGAUAGGAAAAAAGACACCUGCAAGGUAUUGGGUGUUCCUGAGAUCAAGUGUAGCAACAUUCAUUGUUUAUCAUUGUCAUUAGCUCAGGUAAGCCUACAAGGCCUUAAUGCCAAAGGAAAUUGCAAGUCUUGAAAUGAUAUUUUUCUUCUGAAAAUGAUGUUAUCAUACUGUUACUGCCUUGUUGUUUGGCAACCUUCUUUUUUUUUUCUUUUGGGGUGGGGACUGUCUUAGAGGCUGUAGCCAUUCUGGAUAUUAAUGGGGUUAUUCUUCUAGAUUCUUUUUUGGUAGUCACACUUCAUAUUAAGCAUUAUUCAGAUUCCAACCGAAAGGGGGCCUCUUGGAUAGAAAGUCCACAAUGAAUUUCCCUACUUUGUUGUGCCUUUGUGUACAUGUUUGAAUAUAUGUGAUGCAGCCAGCCAAUCCUAGUUUCCAUUCGUGGUAUCAGACAUCAGAUCGGCUGUUCCAUAGACCCAAAUCUAAAUAUUUCCCUGAACCAGGGUUGAAACAGGCUCGCUAAUUUGCUGAUUUUAGUAGCAUGUAUUGGGACAAGAAAAAACAAGAAGGAGAGAGAAGAGAUAGGGGGUUUUCUGGGAUUGUGAACAUUACCCAGGAACAAUUACUGAAGAGAUGAAAGAGAGAAUAGAGGAAGACUUCUUGGCUACACAAUUCAAAUUCAAAGCCAUUUUCCAUAUUUUAUUCCAUAACUAAUGGAGGGUGUGAUUUAUUUAAACAUUAAAUAAUUAAACAAACUUAAAAGCUACUUUUAGGGUUCAUAGAUGAAUCUUGCUAAACUACUAGAACUCCCAAACAGAAAUUAUAUCUAAUUGGACUCUUUCAGAUUUAUCUAUGACAACUAAGGAAUGGGCCCCACAAGAUCCCUAUAACGACCACUAUUAGAUAAAUACUAAUCUUUCAUGGGUCCCACAUUGAUUAAGAUAUUUGUUUUAGUGCACCCCUUUAGACCCCAACUUUUGGACUUCAUAAUUCAAGCCAUUACCAAUAAAACUCGAAGAAUUAAAAGCGCAUACGCCACAAAUACUAGUGUGACCAACAAAACUACUACUCAGCCUUAUCCUAACUAAAUGGGGUUGUCUACAUGGAUCCAAUCAGAGGCAGCAAAA